GAUCCCGCCUCGGCGGGGGCGGCCCCGGACGGGGCGGGACGUGGCCGAGGGCGGGCGGAGCGUGUGCGGGGCCAUGGCGGAGGCGCGGCGGGGAGCGGAGCCGCUGUGGCGGACGCCGCCGGGCCGCCUGGCCCCGCCGCACGUCUACCGCAUGGCGGAGGCGCUGGGCGCCGAGCUCCGCCGCCUCUCCGGCCGCUUCGGGCCCGAGGCGGUGGCCGGGCUGGUGCCGCCCGUCGUGCGGCUGCUGGAGCUGCUGGAGGCGCUGGUGGCCCCGGCGGGCGCCGAGGGGGAGGCGGCGGCGGCGGCGGCGGGCGGGCGGCAGGACGCGGAGGACCCCGAGCAGAGGCUGUGGGAGGCCGAGCGCCGGGAGCGAGCCCUGCACGGCUGCCUGGCCCGCCUGGAGGAGCAGAACCGGCAGCUCCUGUUGCAGCUCGCGGAGAGCCAGUCCCAGGAAGACAGCACGGCGCGGAAGGAGCGGGAGGUGAUGCUGCGGCUGAAGGAGGUGGUGGACAAGCAGCGGGAUGAGCUUCGUGCCCAAGCCCACGAAAUUGUCUGCAAGAGCCGAGACACGGAGGCGCUGCAGGAGCAACUGCAUCGCUUCAUGGCCAUGAACGAGGACCUGCGUCACAAGGUGGCCAUAGUGCAGGCUCAGCUCAAGAGCGCGCUGGAGAGGAAGUCAGACCUGGAGGCCGCAAUGCUGCAAACCCAGAGGGAAAUGAGCAGGAGGAGCAGGGCCAAUUCUGAGACCCAGCGGCCAAAGUCCAGCCUGGAAGGAGAUCUGUCACCCACAGAGGAGCCGCAGCACCAGGACGUGGAUGCGGGCAGGAGCCCUGCUCACUGCUGCUUCUCCAAGGAAGAGCUGCAGGAGAUCCUGCAAGAGCGGAACGAGCUCAAGACCAACCUGUUCUUGGUGCAGGAGGAACUGGCCUAUUACCAGCGGGAGCUGCUGAACGAAGAGCGAGUCCCCGGCUUCUUCUUGGACGCGAUGAAGUCGACUAUCAAAAGACAGCGAAAAAAAAUCAGAGCCAAAAUGCUGGGAACGGAGGAGGAGUCGGCGAGCAGAGAUCAAAGGUUUAUUGUCACCAGUGGAUGUCUCGCUCUGGCUUAGCCCUGGGAGCGCCGCAGGGGCUGGGCUCUUCUCUGCUGCCGCUCACGUGUCCCUGUCACCAGUCACAGACAGCCCGGCCAAAUGUCCCUCGUCCCUGCGUGGAUGUGGCAAAAGCGGGGUGAGGUGGUGGCACGGGGACCACCGGACGGGGCAGGCUGGUCCCCGCGCUGUGCGGUUGGAGGCUGUCCAACGGAGAGCCUGUGAAGAUGACAGUAGAGAUGUUCCCCGGAGGCUCUGCAAGAUGUUCAUGGGCAGCGUUGGCUCCAAGAGACUUAUCACGAUGGGGAAGGGAGGACCCUGCCGGGCAGCAGCGAUGGCUCUCCGUGUCUGCUGGGGGGUGGGGGGGCGAAGCCUGGACUAAAGCUGCUCUAUGGCACGGCGGGAGCUGGAUCUCACUGGCUUUUAGGGGCUUUAAUAAAGGUCUGAAGGGGGCUGGGCUCUUCUGGGCCACUGAAACCUGCUGCUUGCUUGCAUCGGGGUCUCUGCUGGCAGCGGGGGGGGUCUGGGGGUGUUGGGUCCCGCCUGCCGAGCAUAGCCGCUGCCGUGUGAACACUGCCCUGCGGUCACCUCUCGUGCAUCACCCUGCUCCCCUGCGAGGCCUGGCUGUCACCUGCCUCUGCCCUGAGCCGCAGCCGGCGGUUCCAGUUGUCAGGCUGUUCCCCUGGAGAAGCCCGUGCCUGCCGUGCGGGGUGAGACGCUUAAAGGCUUUGCUGCUGCGGCAACCGGGGCUGCAGCAUCCGCUGAGCAAGCGCCGGGGGUUUGAAGCCGGUGUCUGAAGCGCCUUGUGGCUUGAGAUCGCCGAGCCGGGGCUGGGCUUGCCGUGAAACGCGGCUGCGUCUGGGACACGAGCGUCGCUGCGGCUGGCUGUGGCUUUGUGGUGCAUCACAGCCCGAUGGCGCUUUGCGGGGACAGCAGCUCCGGUCCGUGUGGCCCCGGCUUCGCAGCUGCCUCCGCACGUGCAGCUCUGCGGGGACGCCGCUCAGCUCGGGAGGGAGUCCCAGGGUGGCUCUGGCACUUGCUCGUGGCGAGCCCACGACUCAGCACGGGUUUUCCCUCCCCGCUCCUUUGCGCUGCAGCGAUGAAGACGAGGGCUCCUGGCACCCAGCUCGUGGCGCAGACUGCGUGGAUGCUCAGCCUCCCGAAUCCAAAAUUAAGAGCUUUUUCGGGCUGUGGUAUCAGGGCGGCAGCAAAGAAUCCCCCGCAUCCAGCUGCUCCGGAGCCUGGGA